GACGAACGCUGGCGGCGUGCCUAGUACAUGCAAGUUGAGCGCUGAAGGUUGGUACUUGUACCAACUGGAUGAGCAGCGAACGGGUGAGUAACGCGUGGGGAAUCUGCCUUUGAGCGGGGGACAACAUUUGGAAACGAAUGCUAAUACCGCAUAAAAACUUUAAACACAAGUUUUAAGUUUGAAAGAUGCAAUUGCAUCACUCAAAGAUGAUCCCGCGUUGUAUUAGCUAGUUGGUGAGGUAAAGGCUCACCAAGGCGAUGAUACAUAGCCGACCUGAGAGGGUGAUCGGCCACAUUGGGACUGAGACACGGCCCAAACUCCUACGGGAGGCAGCAGUAGGGAAUCUUCGGCAAUGGACGAAAGUCUGACCGAGCAACGCCGCGUGAGUGAAGAAGGGUUUCGGAUCGUAAAACUCGGUUGGUAGAGAAGAACGUUGGUGAGAGUGGAAAGCUCAUCAAGUGACGGUAACUACCCAGAAAGGGACGGCUAACUACGUG
rnacentral:rRNA from 1 species